UGAAAAUUUUCCAGAUACCUCUGCUGAUAAAAUUUGCACCACCAAAUUUUGGGACUCGGUUAAAGUCCCAAGUUAAGUUAUUAGAUCUUUCAACCAAGAGGGACCCCAUCGUGCCCCGCAUGCUUCCACACCAUCUUUGAGAUGGUCCACCAACAAGCACAGCAUUGAUUACUCCAUCUGUCGGUCACCCCUAACUCAGAACCUUGUGCCCCACAUGCUCCCCAUUUUCCACACCAUCUUUGAGAUGGUCCACCAACAAGCACAGCAUUGAUUACUCCAUCUGUCGGUCACCCCUAACUCAGAACCUUCCCUGGAACCUUCUCUCGUGGAUCUUCAACAAUGAUCCAAGAUGGCCUGGCCAUGCCAUCUCAGAGCAUUGUGUCCUGGAGACUCAAGAUGGAAGGAGCCACAAUAUGGCUUGUGACCCUGAUCAUCCUCCCGCCAUCUUGGCUCCUCCACUUCCUGCUCCACAACCUUCUCUUCCUACCUGAACCAAUCCUCGGACUCCACCCCCUCAACUGCGGGUCACACCCCCACUGUCAAUCACUCCACCUCCACCCCGGGCCAUGCCUUUGGAACUCCACCCUGAAAGUCUGCCAUUUGAAUCAAGGUACUACCGGUUUAACACCUUACAAAAUGACGACGCCCAUUGCCUCACUCUCAGGUAAUAAGGCAGCCCUCAUGGACAAGGUUGAAAAGCAUUGCUGCUGCUCUGACACUAACCCGAAUGUUGUUGCUCCAAGUUGCCCUUCUUCCUCAGAAGAGCAUUUGGAUUCCCCAGACAAUGAUGAGCCACUUCACCCUUCAGUUCCAGAAGACCCCUGCGAGAGAGUCCAGAAGGUUGCAAUUAAGGAAGGGGACUGGCAGAUAGUUUCAAAGUUCACUGCUGCCCUGGAACACUGUCAGGAAUUGGAGGUGACAGCGACAGUCUCUGGAGUGCAGAACUGAUUAAAUUCGAGGGACCUGAAUGCUGUAGCUCCAGGACAAGACCUUUCAUGGGGCUACCACAGAAGGAAGUCACCAGACUGCUGUUCUUUUGCACUAGAUUUUAAUACAUAAUAUGCCA
rnacentral:lncRNA from 12 species